CCUACGGGAGGCAGCAGUGAGGAAUAUUGGUCAAUGGCCGGAAGUCUGAACCAGCCAAGUCGCGUGAGGGAAUAAGGCCCUAUGGGUCGUAAACCUCUUUUGUCAGGGAGCAAAGGCGUCCACGUGUGGACGAGAGGAGAGUACCUAAAGAAAAGGCAUGGGCUAACUCCGUGCCAGCAGCCGCGUUAAUACGGAGGAUGCGGGCGUUAUCCGGAUUUUUGGGGUUGAAGGGGUGCGUAGGCGGAGUGUCAAGUCAUCGGUAAAAUUUCGGGGCUCAACCCCGGCGUGCCGUUGAAACUGACGACCGUGAGUGAGUGAGAAGUAAGCGGAAUGCGUGGUGGAGCGGUGAAAUGCAUAGAUAUCACGAAGAACGCCGAUUGCGAAGGCAGCGUACCGGCGCUCAACUGACGCUGAGGCACGAAAGUGCGGGUAUCGAACAGGAUUAGAUACCCUUGUAGUC
rnacentral:rRNA from 1 species